UACUACAAAGAAUCCACCCCUUCCUAUAAAUCCCCUCCCCCUCCACCAUACUACAAAGAAUCUACCCCUUCUUAUAAAUCCCCUCCACCUCCUCCAUACUACAAAGAAUCCAAACCUUCCUAUAAAUCCCCUCCACCUCCUCCAUACUACAAAGAAUCCACACCUUCCUAUAAAUCUCCUCCACCUCCACCAAAAUACUACGAGCAAUCACAUGCAACCUAUGCUUCACCUCCACCCCCACCAACCUACUAUUAAUAGUUACUAAUUCAAUCAUUUCCAUGAGUUCUAAAUCCUACUUCGAGUAUCUCUAUUUCCUCAGCCAUAAUCUCAUGUAUGCAUCAAGAAGGUUUUGCUUGUUUUGUAUGUUCGUUCCUUUUAAUAAUUUGUAAUAUGCAUUGUUUGAGAUCCUCAAGAUCUCCCUCAGUUUGGUUCAUUGUAUCAAGAUUCUUUUUGGUGUGAUCUCUUGCGAGUUCCACUUUGUGUAAUACUAUCUUCUUCUUUAUCAAAUAUUGUUUGUUCUUAUUGGAUGAGUUCUUUCAUUGUUCCAUAAGCAUUCACCUUCUGGAAAUAUAUGCUAAACUCUAACCACUUCUGAGUAUAGUGUCUGGCAAUUGUAUUCUUAACUUUUGAGAAAGUAAAAUUUCAUUAAACAAAAAGAAUAAGAAAGAAAUAAAGAUGCAUUUGAACUUAAGCAAAUGCAUCAUUUCAACGAUUCUGUUUCUAAUAACAAGAGCAGAGGAAAAAGACAACGUAGAGAAGCCAAGGCUUAUCAGCAUUUUUCUCUUCUAAGGCUACUCUUUUCAUUAUUGAUCUUUUCUUUUGUGAAGAUGCAACCUGGUUAAACUAAACUUAUAUGUGCAACUCCAAUCAUCAGUAAAAGGGUAAUCUUCUUAUGUAGUUAUUCAUAAGUUGUUACCCUCUAUGAACAUAAAAAGAAAAUACUGAUAUCAAUUUGACUUAAGAAGGAAAACCUAAGUUGCACGUACUCUUCACUUUCAAUGCUGCACCUGUGUUGGAUUCUCCGAAAAUACGCUACUUUUGGUGAAUCCGACACGGACCCACCGAUACUUUUGAAGAGUCCGAGCAACAUAGAGAAAAACAGAUUUGGUGAGGAAAAUAUGGAGUCUGAAUAAAUUAAACUCAGCUAAAGAAAAAAAUUAUUGAGUCUGAAUAAUGAAGAGUUAGCAAGACAUCAAGAUUUUUCAGUUAAAAGUGUUGUGACCCUCACUGUGGUUGGCGUUCUUAACGGAGAAUAUGUGAUAUUUGACUCUAAUUUUCUUAGUUGCAAUUUUCUCAACCUUUGUUUUGUGAUAAACAAAGGGGGGCUUUGAAGCAUAAAGGUUUAGAUAAAGAUUUUUUGGGAUUCAUAAGACUAAUUACAUACGAUUGCACACAAACUAUUGGGAUGAGCUCGCGCGUUGGGCAUUGGGUGCAUCUCAGGCGUACAUGCGGACACUUGAGCAGGGAUGGAGCUAGUAAGGGUACAGGGGGUUCAUACUCCCUUCUUCUUCUGUUUUUCUCUUUUUCAUUUUUACAUUUGUUCAUCAUGAGAAUUUUUUUUUUUGAAAGAAAAAAGUCAUGGAUAAAUGCUUCCCACUAAGUAUUGACCUUGUCUUUAUUUUGAUUUUGCUAUGUUCUUAGUGGCUAAUCAUGAAGCCAUUACAUUUAUUUGAAGAAGGAUGUCACUUUCCUACUAUAAAAACAGAUAUCCCUGCUCAGCUAUACAACACAAGUUUUAGUUUCAUCCUUCUUUUCACAAUCAAAAUGAGAAGCUUUGGUUAUUUGCUUGUUGCUACUUUAGCUAUUUGCUUUGUAGCCAGCACUGUUGUUGCUGAUUACUCUUAUGGCUAUACUUCUCCCUCACCUUCUUACACCUCUAAGAAGUACUACAAAUCACCAUCUCCAUCUAGCUAUCAUGUACCCACUCCAUACAACAAAAAACCAGAGAAACAUGCUGAACAUUCUCCGUCACACUAUUACAAGUCACCGGUGCCUUCCAAGCACGACUAUUACAAGUCCCCUACUCCUUCAAAGCAUUACUACAAAUCGCCAGUAGUAGUGAAGUAUUACAAAUCACCAGGUCCUUCAAAAAAUUACUACAAAGCGCCUUCCCAUUCAAAGAAAUACUACUACAAGGCACCUUCCCAUUCAAACAAGUACAACAAAUCGCCUGCCCCUUCAAAGCACUACUACAAGUCCCCAUCACCUGCAAAGUACUACAAAUCUCCAUCCCCUACAAAAUACUACAAGUCGCCUACUCCAUCAACACACGAUUACUACAACUCACCAUCCCCAUCAAAAUAUUACAAAUCACCCGCUCCUUCUAAAUACUAUAAAUCACCGUCACCAUCAAAAUAUUAUAAGUCACCAGUUUAUUACAAGUCUCCACCACCACCACCAGCUUAUUAUGAGAAAUCAACUUCUUACUACAAGUCCCCUCCCCCUCCACCGUACUACAAAGAAUCUACUCCUUCCUAUAAAUCUCCUGCCCCUCCAUCAUACUACAAAGAAUCUAUGCCUUCCUAUAAAUCCCCUCCCCCUCCCCCAUACUACAAAGAAUCCAGCCCUUCUUACUAUAAAUCCCCUCCACCUCCACCAUACUACAAGGAAUCUAACCCUUCCUAUAAAUCCCCUCCCCCUCCCCCAUACUACAAAGAAUCCACCCCUUCUUACAAAUCCCCUCCCCCACCACCAUACUACAAAGAAUCUACGCCUUCCUAUAAAUCCCCUCCUCCUCCUCCAUACUACAAAGAAUCCACCCCUUCCUAUAAAUCCCCUCCCCCUCCACCAUACUACAAAGAAUCUACCCCUUCUUAUAAAUCCCCUCCACCUCCCCCAUACUACAAAGAAUCCAUGCCUUCCUAUAAAUCCCCUCCACCUCCUCCAUACUACAAAGAAUCCACACCUUCCUAUAAAUCUCCUCCAC
rnacentral:lncRNA from 1 species